CCCAGACAAGCACCGCUGGGGAGGGCUCUCAAGUCAGACUGUGGGGAGGGGGGAAACGGGAGGUGGUGGCAAAGGGGCGAGGCUCCUCUUUCAGAGGCCUCCCCUCCUUUGCCGCUCCAGCCCUUCCAGGAUCACCCGACACCGGUGCGGUCUGCUUGAAGCCGAAGCCGUGAAGCAGACUGGAAAUAACCAGAGUGGAGAAACUUAUUAAAAUUCAAAGAUAUUGUUUUGUCCUCUCUCCCGUUAAGCUGCCUUGAAAAAGGUAUAAACCUAUAUGUACAAUUAGCUUCACAAAGCCCAAAUACAAGAAACAUGAAGAAAAGAUAGCAAAACACACUGCAACCGAAUUGCUUAAAAGCAGUGAUAGAGAACCCAGCAAGAGUAUCUUUCAUAUGGGAAGAGGAGACAAGAACAUUCUCAGAUAAACAAAACCUGAAAGAAUUUACCAACAUGA